rnacentral:rRNA from 1 species
UACGUAGGGUGCAAGCGUUGUCCGGAAUUAUUGGGCGUAAAGAGCUCGUAGGCGGUUUGUCGCGUCUGCUGUGAAAACUCGGGGCUUAACCCCGGGCCUGCAGUGGGUACGGGCAGACUAGAGUGUGGUAGGGGAGAUCGGAAUUCCUGGUGUAGCGGUGGAAUGCGCAGAUAUCAGGAGGAACACCGGUGGCGAAGGCGGAUCUCUGGGCCAUAACUGACGCUGAGGAGCGAAAGCAUGGGGAGCGAACAGG